AUGUAUCACAAAAACGAAAACACACAUCAAAUUAACGAAAUACAGGAAGCACCAGCAGCAUUUGUCCUCUUCAUCCUCCUCCAGGUGCACGUAUCUUCCUUCGCCUACUUACUGCAUGUAGUAAGCAAAGAAGGAGAGUACGGAGGCGCCGAGCACCGCGCCGACGGCCGGAAAGGCGCCGGUUGCUGCGGAGGCUCCCGCCGCCGGGGCUCCCGCCAGGCCUCCUGCCGGGGCAAGGGCCGGACCAUCGGCGGCGAGGGCAACGGUCGCCGAUGCGGCGAUGAGGACGGCGCAGGCAAUCUUCUUCAUCUCCAUGACCUGAGAAAGUCGAAAGAGGGAGAUGAGGAAGAACAAGGGCUUAUUGGCAAAGCUGGGAUUGCUUAUUCGUGCCCUUGA
rnacentral:rRNA from 1 species